CACUCGUGUGUCAGACCUACUUCUACCUGUUUUUGAUCAGUGUUUUGGCAUCAUCUACAUGAAGAAAUAACACGCAGUUACGGCCUCACACAUCCCCUCCAAGACUUCUUCAUGGACAUACAGUAUGACAUACAGCACCCUCCAGCUCUGCUCCUCAUUCCAAACAAGAUGCAAAGUGUGCACGCCGCCGCUGCCCCUUCACCUCCCAUCACUUUUGUCGCACCCCCAUCCUGCAUCUUGGGUCCUUCGGUGGCAGGCAGCCGUCAGCAGCGGCGCAGACGCCGUCCUCCCGUCCCCUCGGCCGUGAUAUAGUGGCGUCGGGUUCACCUGAUCACCAAGGUCAGGGACGAACAAUCAAUUCAAUCCACUCAUUCUUAUUAGGGACAUAAACACA